rnacentral:rRNA from 1 species
GACGAACGCUGGCGGCGUGCUUAACACAUGCAAGUCGAACGCUGAAGCCUAGCUUGCUGGGUGGAUGAGUGGCGAACGGGUGAGUAACACGUGAGUAACCUGCCCCCUUCUUUGGGAUAACGCCCGGAAACGGGUGCUAAUACUGGAUAUUCACUGAUCUUCGCAUGGGGGUUGGUGGAAAGGUUUGUUCUGGUGGGGGAUGGGCUCGCGGCCUAUCAGCUUGUUGGUGGGGUGAUGGCCUACCAAGGCUUUGACGGGUAGCCGGCCUGAGAGGGUGACCGGUCACAUUGGGACUGAGAUACGGCCCAGACUCCUACGGGAGGCAGCAGUGGGGAAUAUUGCACAAUGGGCGCAAGCCUGAUGCAGCGACGCCGCGUGAGGGAUGGAGGCCUUCGGGUUGUAAACCUCUUUCGCUCAUGGUCAAGCCGCAACAGUGGUUGUGGUGAGGGUAGUGGGUAAAGAAGCGCCGGCUAACUACGUGCCAGCAGCCGCGGUAAUACGUAGGGCGCGAGCGUUGUCCGGAAUUAUUGGGCGUAAAGGGCUUGUAGGCGGUUGGUCGCGUCUGCCGUGAAAUCCUCUGGCUUAACUGGGGGCGUGCGGUGGGUACGGGCUGACUUGAGUGCGGUAGGGGAGACUGGAACUCCUGGUGUAGCGGUGGAAUGCGCAGAUAUCAGGAAGAACACCGGUGGCGAAGGCGGGUCUCUGGGCCGUUACUGACGCUGAGGAGCGAAAGCGUGGGGAGCGAACAGG